rnacentral:rRNA from 1 species
GGUGAACGCUGGCGGCGUGCCUAAUACAUGCAAGUCGAGCGAACGGACGAGAAGCUUGCUUCUCUGAUGUUAGCGGCGGACGGGUGAGUAACACGUGGAUAACCUACCUAUAAGACUGGGAUAACUUCGGGAAACCGGAGCUAAUACCGGAUAAUAUUUUGAACCGCAUGGUUCAAAAGUGAAAGACGGUCUUGCUGUCACUUAUAGAUGGAUCCGCGCUGCAUUAGCUAGUUGGUAAGGUAACGGCUUACCAAGGCAACGAUGCAUAGCCGACCUGAGAGGGUGAUCGGCCACACUGGAACUGAGACACGGUCCAGACUCCUACGGGAGGCAGCAGUAGGGAAUCUUCCGCAAUGGGCGAAAGCCUGACGGAUCAACGCCGCGUGAGUGAUGAAGGUCUUCGGGUCGUAAAACUCUGUUAUUAGGGAAGAACAUAUGUGUAAGUAACUGUGCACAUCUUGACGGUACCUAAUCAGAAAGCCACGGCUAACUACGUG